rnacentral:rRNA from 1 species
AAAACUUUCAACAACGGAUCUCUUGGUUCUGGCAUCGAUGAAGAACGCAGCGAAAUGCGAUAAGUAAUGUGAAUUGCAGAAUUCAGUGAAUCAUCGAAUCUUUGAACGCACAUUGCGCCCGGGAGCAUUCUCCCGGGCAUGCCUGUUCGAGCGUCAUUUCAACCCUCGACUUCCCUUUGGGGAAGUCGGCCGUUGGAGA